rnacentral:rRNA from 1 species
GACGAACGCUGGCGGCGUGCCUAAUACAUGCAAGUAGAACGCUGAAGAGAGGAGCUUGCUCUUCUUGGAUGAGUUGCGAACGGGUGAGUAACGCGUAGGUAACCUGCCUGGUAGCGGGGGAUAACUAUUGGAAACGAUAGCUAAUACCGCAUAAAAUGGAUUAUCGCAUGAUAAUCCAUUGAAAGGUGCAAAUGCAUCACUACCAGAUGGAACUGCGUAGUAUUAGCUAGUUGGUGGGGUAACGGCUGACCAAGGCGACGAUACGUAGCCGACCGGAGAGGGGGAGCGGCCAACAGGGAACUGAGACACGGGCCAGACUAAGACGGGAGGCAGCAGGAGGGAAUCGGACGGAAGGGGCGAAAGCCUGACGGAGCAAAGCAGGGUGAGUGAGGAAGGUCUUGGGAGAGUAAAAAGCUGUGAUGAGGGAAGAACAAAUGUGUAAGGAACGAUGCACGUCUUGACGGGACCUAAUCAGAAAGCCACGGCUAACUACGUG